GUUUGACUCCCCGAAACUAGACGAGCUACUCUUAAACAACCUUUCGGGCCAACCCAUCUCCGUAGCAAAGGAGUGGGAAGAUUUAAGAGUAGAGGUGAUACGCCUACCGAGCCUAGAGAUAGCUGGUUAUUUAAGAAAAGGAUUUUAGUCCACCUUUAAAUUUUUUUAGUACAUUUAAACAUUCAACAAAUUUUAAAGUCAUUCAAAUAAGGUACAGCCUGUUUGAACAAGGAAACAGCCUUCAAUGUAGGGUAACACCCACCCAACGUGGUUAGGUAGGCCUAAGAGCAGCCAACCUUUAAAAAGCGUCCAAGCUUCACCACCACUUAUCGAUAAUCCCACUGUUAACCCGCAACCCUCAACCACUACUAAAUAGCCUCAUAUUUAUAUGAGAAAUAUAAUGCUAGAACUAGUAACAAGAAGAAGACCUUCUCCUAAAUACAAGUAUAAGCCAAUACGAACAACUCACCGGCACUUACCGCCACACAU
rnacentral:rRNA from 1 species